rnacentral:rRNA from 1 species
GACGUAGGGCGCGAGCGUUGUCCGGAUUUAUUGGGCGUAAAGAGCUCGUAGGUGGCUUGUCGCGUCGAAUGUGAAAUCUCAGGGCUCAACUCUGACAUUGCAUUCGAUACGGGCAGGCUCGAGUUCGGUAGGGGAGACUGGAAUUCCUGGUGUAGCGGUGAAAUGCGCGAUAUCAGGAGGAACACCAGUGGCGAAGGCGGGUCUGCCUGGCGAAUGCUGACGUGAGGAAGCGAAGGCGUAGGGAGGAACUGAUAGACUACCGUGGUCAGUCCAAGAUCCAG